rnacentral:rRNA from 1 species
AUUGAACGCUGGCGGCAGGCCUAACACAUGCAAGUCGAACGAGUGGCGGACGGGUGAGUAAUGUCUGGAAAACUCCCUUAUGGAGGGGGAUAACUACUGGAAACGGUAGCUAUUACCGCAUAGCUUCAGCUUAUACCAGGGUGGGUUAUGUUGUUGGUGGGGUAAAGGCUUACCAAGGCGACGAUCCCUAGCGGGUCUGAGAGGAUGACAAGCCACACUGGAACUGAGACACGGUCCAGACUCCUACGGGAGGCAGCAGUGGGGAAUAUUCCACAAUGGGCGCAAGCCUGAUGCAGCCAUGCCGCGUGAAUGACGAAGGCCUUCGGAUUGUAAAGUACUUUCAGCAGGGAGGCGUUACCCGAACAAAAAGCCCCGGCUAACUCCGUGCCAGCAGCCGCGGUAAUAC